rnacentral:rRNA from 1 species
UGUACCCUGUAAGAAAGGAUCGGCUAACUUCGUGCCAGCAGCCGCGGUAAGACGAGGGAUCCUAGCGUUGUUCGGAAUCAUUGGGCGUAAAGCGGGUGUAGGUGGCUUUGUAAGUCAGAUGUGAAAGCCCAGGGCUCAACCCUGGAAGUGCAUUUGAUACUGCGAAGCUUGAGUGCUAGAGAGGUUACUAGAAUUCUUGGUGUAGUGGUGAAAUACGUAGAUAUCAAGAGGAAUACCGGUGGCGAAGGCGGGUAACUGGCUAGACACUGACACUCAGACCCGAAAGCGUGGGGAUCAAACAGGAUUAGAUACCCUGGUAGUCCACGCCAUAAACGAUGGAUACUUGUUGUUGGAGGUAUUGACCCCUUCAGUGACGAAGCUAACGCGUUAAGUAUCCCGCCUGGGGAGUACGGUCGCAAGAUUAAAACUCAAAGAAAUUGACGGGGGCCCGCACAAGCGGUGGAGCAUGUGGUUUAAUUCGAUGCAACGCGAAGAACCUUACCUGGGCUUGACAUGUACUGGAAGACUGGCAGAAAUGUCGUCGCUCGCAAGAGUCGGUACACAGGUGCUGCAUGGCUGUCGUCAGCUCGUGUCGUGAGAUGUUGGGUUAAGUCCCGCAACGAGCGCAACCCUUGCCUUUAGUUGCCAGCAUUUAGUUGGGCACUCUAAAGGGACUGCCGGUGUUAAACCGGAGGAAGGUGGGGAUGACGUCAAGUCCUCAUGGCCCUUAUGCCUAGGGCUACACACGUGCUACAAUGGUGGUCACAAACUGAAGCGAAGCCGCAAGGUGGAGCAAAUCGGAGAAAAGCCAUCUAAGUUCAGAUUGAUCUCUGCAACUCGAGAUCAUGAAGUUGGAAUCGCUAGUAAUCGCGGAUCAGAAUGCCGCGGUGAAUACGUUCCCGGGCCUUGUACACACCGCCCGUCACACCAUGAAAGUCGGCUGUACCAGAAGUCGCUGCGCUAACCGCAAGGAGGCAGGCGCCCAAGGUAUGGUCGAUGAUUGGGGUGAAGUC